CAAAUCUUGGCGGUGGAUCACUCGGUUCGUGGAUCGAUGAAGAACGCAGCCAGCUGCGAUAAAUAGUGCGAAUUGCAGACACAUUGAGCACUAAAAUUUCGAACGCACAUUGCGCCAUCGGGUUCAUUCCCGCUGGCACGUCUGGCUGAGGGUCG
rnacentral:rRNA from 1 species